rfam:Loxodonta africana unplaced genomic scaffold scaffold_139, whole genome shotgun sequence.
ACAAAGGCCCUUUUUAGGGCCCCCAACCUUUCAUUCGAGGGAGCUGU